ACUCCUACGGGAGGCAGCAGUGGGGAAUAUUGCACAAUGGGCGCAAGCCUGAUGCAGCCAUGCCGCGUGUGUGAAGAAGGCCUUCGGGUUGUAAAGCACUUUCAGUCGUGAGGAAGGUAGUGUAGUUAAUAGCUGCAUUAUUUGUACGUUAGCGACAGAAGAAGCACCGGCUAACUCCGUGCCAGCAGCCGCGGUAAUACGGAGGGUGCGAGCGUUAAUCGGAAUUACUGGGCGUAAAGCGCAUGCAGGUGGUUUGUUAAGUCAGAUGUGAAAGCCCGGGGCUCAACCUCGGAAUAGCAUUUGAAACUGGCAGACUAGAGUACUGUAGAGGGGGUAGAAUUUCAGGUGUAGCGGUGAAAUGCGUAGAGAUCUGAAGG
rnacentral:rRNA from 1 species